GACGAACGCUGGCGGCGUGCCUAAUACAUGCAAGUCGAGCGGACAGAAGGGAGCUUGCUCCCGGAUGUUAGCGGCGGACGGGUGAGUAACACGUGGGUAACCUGCCUGUAAGACUGGGAUAACUCCGGGAAACCGGAGCUAAUACCGGAUAGUUCCUUGAACCGCAUGGUUCAAGGAUGAAAGACGGUUUCGGCUGUCACUUACAGAUGGACCCGCGGCGCAUUAGCUAGUUGGUGAGGUAACGGCUCACCAAGGCGACGAUGCGUAGCCGACCUGAGAGGGUGAUCGGCCACACUGGGACUGAGACACGGCCCAGACUCCUACGGGAGGCAGCAGUAGGGAAUCUUCCGCAAUGGACGAAAGUCUGACGGAGCAACGCCGCGUGAGUGAUGAAGGUUUUCGGAUCGUAAAGCUCUGUUGUUAGGGAAGAACAAGUGCAAGAGUAACUGCUUGCACCUUGACGGAC
rnacentral:rRNA from 1 species